UAACCUGCCCAAGAGAUCGGGAUAACACCUGGAAACAGAUGCUAAUACCGGAUAACAACAGAUGAUGCCUAUCAACUGUUUAAAAGAUGGUUCUGCUAUCACUCUUGGAUGGACCUGCGGUGCAUUAGCUAGUUGGUAGGGUAACGGCCUACCAAGGCGAUGAUGCAUAGCCGAGUUAAGANACUGAUCGGCCACAUUGGGACUGAGACACGGCCCAAACUCCUACGGGAGGCAGCAGAU
rnacentral:rRNA from 1 species